rnacentral:rRNA from 1 species
UACAGAGGUGGCAAGCGUUGUUCGGAAUUACUGGGCGUAAAAGGGCGCGUAGGCGGCCUUUCUAAGUCAGACGUGAAAUCCCCCGGCUUAAACCUGGGAACUGCCGUCUGAUACUGGGAGGCUUGAGUAUGGGAGAGGAUGUAGAAUUCCUGGUGUAGCGGUGAAAUGCGUAGAUAUCUGGAGGAACACCGGUGGCGAAGGCGGCAAUCCUGGACCAACACGUGACGCUGAGGAGCGAAAGCCAGGGAGCAACGGG